UACGGAGGGUGCAAGCGUUGUCCGGAAUCACUGGGCGUAAAGGGUGCGUAGGCGGCGCGGUAAGUCGGAUGUGAAAUCUCGGAGCUUAACUUCGAAACUGCAUUCGAUACUGCCGUGCUUGAGGACUGGAGAGGAGACUGGAAUUUACGGUGUAGCGGUGAAAUGCGUAGAUAUCGUAAGGAAGACCAGUGGCGAAGGCGGGUCUCUGGACAGUUCCUGACGCUGAGGAGCGAAAGUGUGGGGAGCAAACGGG
rnacentral:rRNA from 1 species